AUUGAACGCUGGCGGCAGGCUUAACACAUGCAAGUCGAGCGGGGUGAUGGUGCUUGCACUAUCACUUAGCGGCGGACGGGUGAGUAAUGCUUAGGAAUCUGCCUAUUAGUGGGGGACAACAUCUCGAAAGGGAUGCUAAUACCGCAUCCGUCCUACGGGAGAAAGCAGGGGAUCACUUGUGACCUUGCGCUAAUAGAUGAGCCUAGGUCGGAUUAGCUAGUUGGUGGGGUAAAGGCCUACCAAGGCGACGAUCUGUAGCGGGUCUGAGAGGAUGAUCCGCCACACUGGGACGGAGACACGGCCCAGACUCCAACGGGAGGCAGCAGUGGGGAAUAUUGGACAAUGGGGGGAACCCUGAUCCAGCCAUGCCGCGUGUGUGAAGAAGGCCUUAUGGUUGUAAAGCACUUUAAGCGAGGAGGAGGCUCUUUUGGUUAAUACCCAAGAUGAGUGGACGUUACUCGCAGAAUAAGCACCGGCUAACUCUGUGCCAGCCGCCGCCGUAAGAC
rnacentral:rRNA from 1 species